rnacentral:rRNA from 1 species
UUUCCAGACUCCUACGGGAGGCAGCAGUGAGGAAUAUUGGUCAAUGGGCGCGAGCCUGAACCAGCCAAGUCGCGUGAGGGAUGACGGUCCUACGGAUUGUAAACCUCUUUUGCCGGGGAGCAAGCGUGCGUUCGUGAACGCGCGUCGAGAGUACCCGGAGAGAAAGCAUCGGCUAACUCCGUGCCAGCAGCCGCGGUAAUACGGAGGGUGCGGGCGUUAUCCGGAUUUAUUGGGUUUAAAGGGUGCGCAGGCGGAAUGUCAAGUCAGCGGUAAAAUUUCGGGGCUCAACCCCGUCGUGCCGUUGAAACUGGCGUUCUUGAGUGAGCGAGAAGUAUGCGGAAUGCGUGGUGUAGCGGUGAAAUGCAUAGAUAUCACGCAGAACUCCGAUUGCGAAGGCAGCAUACCGGCGCUCAACUGACGCUCAUGCACGAAAGCGUGGGUAUCGAACAGGAUUAGAUACCCCGGUACAC